UAGACAACCACCAGCUAAUCUCUAUUGGCUUGGACGGCUCUCUCAAAUGUUACUGUCUAUAUGAAUCCACCUUGGGAUAUUAGUAAAAUGAGUUUCUGAUACAGAAGAUCUAGAAAGCGCCUGAAAUGCUGAUAUUCUGUCUCCCAGGUGGAGGAGUUCAGCUAUUACCUUGACUUUGCCGAAGUCCUAGGCACUCCCAUGCCCUCAGAGUCUCAUUUUGAAUCCAGGCACUUAGGGAUGCUAUUUUUCCACAUCAAACAGCUUCCUCCCAGCCAAAGAAUUCUGGUGACAGUAGUGAAGAUAAUUUUCACUCCUGCUUACAGAAUGACAAAGCAAAAGCAAAGAGGAGAAGAAUGAAGUAAAGACAACCAAAGGAAAAGACUGAUGGCUCCUUAAGAAUGAUCUUGAUAAAGGAAUGGUGGCUGAGGGGUCCAUCUCCUAAACCACCCACCUUACUGACUCCCUAGAGCAAUGCCAUACAGAAAGCUGCACCUUGAGGGGAAGACACAAGAAUCCUGGAGUGGAAAAAAAUUGGGUAAUGAUGACAGCCUUCGAGGUCUUGAGAGUAAAGCAGAAGCAAAAAAAAAGUGUUAUUUUUAUCUUUUGAAGAUGGUUCCCUCUUAAGACUUUUGCGAAUGAUUAAGAUUUCAAUUAUGUUCCAGGAAAAAAAUAAGAUUUUUGCUUGACAAAAAAAAUUUUUGUCUAGAACAGGUGGGAAGGAAGAGAUAGUUUAGCCACAUCCAAGAGACCUGUAAAUUGGGUACAGUGAAGUGAAUGGUGUACCAGUCAUAAAAGAAUGUUAACUGGAGAAGUCUCUGCUGUCUUCCUGUAACUGAGGGGGGUGUAACCAUCCUUGUGGAAGCGUCCACUUUUAUUGAAGAUUGGCUAAAUAAAUCUGUGCCUACUGAAACUCAAGC
rnacentral:lncRNA from 10 species